AACGUUAAUCAACGAUCAACGCCGUUAACGUUAAUUUUAUUUCUGAUCAACGUCAACGCCGUUGCGUUGAUUUCCUUGUUUGUUAGCGUCAACGUCAACGAGUUGCGUUGAAUUAACGUUAACGGAUACCGGUAACCGUCUCGUUGAUUUGGAACCUGAUGCUUCGAUUUUGUUUCUUCUAUAAACAAAUCGUUUCUAUGCAAAUGUCGUUACUAAGGAAGAAAAAUCCUAGUUGUAUGAGCAUGUGUGUCAUCAACAUCAUUCUGCGUCAAACAAUCAAUCCGCUUGGACAUUAAUUUGCAAGGGUCUGCAAGGCCAUAGACCGAGAAUUAUCCCGCGAUACUUCUCCAUGAUCUCACCUGUAUAAUUUGCACAUCAGGCCAAAAACCAAGAAGUUCCACGACCAGACCAGCGACCAGAAUGACGUCGAUCCAUGUUAAUCAAAAACAAAACUCGGAGAAUUUCGCCAGCAAGCGAGAUGUUGAAUUAUUGUGACUGAGGGCAGAUAUUUUUGCACUGCACAGCCGCUUUGAUAUUAAAAUUGAGUCAAAGGGAACACAACCGACAGCGCUGAACUCAAGUGAUCAUGAGGGCCAUACCAAUAUGCGGGAAACCAAGAUCGUGCAAAAUGAGUACGGAAUAUCAGCAUGAUCCGGGAGACCACCCCACAGCCUACAUACCAGGCGCACGCAUCGCCUCUUGGUUAAAUAUGUUUCAAUGUAUACAAAUACGCCCUCCAAUUGUUACAUUCAACGUUAUUGACAAAUAAUAAAAACCUAACUAUUAUCUUAUAA